GCUUCGGCGCGCGGUUCACCUUCAUGAAACAGAGUGUUUCGGCACAAUGUUUCGAAGCGUGUGUCAACCAGCGCAGAUCACGUGAUUGAUGACGUAUGACACGCCAAAUGCAUCACUCACCUGAACCAGGUUUGAGAUUUCAGGUGUGUUUGAUCAGAAGGGCGUGUGAAACAACGUUUCCCGACCAGUUCUGUUGUUUCCCGUGUAUCGUAAGAAUCAACGUCAUGGCACCCGGUAAAAAACGUUCUGUGGCUUGGGAUCAUUUCAACUUGAUUUCUCCAAAUAAGGUGCAAUGUUUGAUUUGCAAACAUGAAUUUGCAUUUAAUGAUAGUACAUCCUCCAUGAUGCGACAUCUCCGCUCCGUUCAUCAUGUUGAAACUCCGCAGUCGGCAAAUCAAGCCUUCAAUCCACCUCAUAUUGUGUCAAGAAAGCAAGAACUUGAUUCUGCAUUGGUGGAUAUGAUUGUAAUGGAUGCACAACCAUUUUCAAUUGUUGAAGACAAAGGCUUCCAGGUAAGGUGGCUAAUAUUAUAUAGCAUUUACAUUAUUUAUGUUUUUGUGUACAUAAUAAGCUGUAUUUUAUUUGUCACUAUUAGGCUUUUGUCAACCUUUUGGACCCAUCCUACAUAAUUCCUAAUAGGAAGGCCUUGAGGAGAAUGGUGGAGGAGAAGUACAAAGCCAAAAAGGAGAAGGCUUUAGAUGUGGUUAGCAGGGCCUCUGCUGUCAGCCUUACAGCAGACAUGUGGACAUCCAUUAACAUGGACGCUUACUUGGCUGUAACAUGCCAUUUUAUCACCGAGGAGGUAGGUAUCCCCUGCUUUGUGCAAUGCUUUGGUUUAUGUAUCUCAGUUUGAUUUUGUUCAUUCUAAGUGGAGCUGGCCUCUGUGGUCUUGGGGGUUCUGAAGUUUCCCCAAACCCACACUACAGCUCACUUGGCUGAGGCCAAAAAUCUUCUCAUGGAAGAAUGGGGAAUUAAAGGGAAGGUGCGAGCCAGAUCAAUAAAGUACAAGAUCAUUCAUCAAUAUGGCCUCCCACUACCUAAUAUACAUGAUUUGUGAACAUGUAAUCUUUCUUCCAGGUGACAGGCCUGGUUACAGACUGUGCUCCCAACAUGGUUGCAUGUGCUAAUAUAUUGCUGCUUCGGCACAUAAUGUGUUUUGCACAUAUGCUUAAUUUGGUGGUGAAAAAGUCCCUUGCCCAAACCCCUGAACUAGAGGAUAUCCGAAGUAAGGGGCGUAGGAUUGUCGGUCUUUUUAAAUCCAGCACCACAGCGAAGGAGAAGCUGUCAGAGAUGCAGCGACAGCUGGCCAGGCCAGAGCACAAAUUAAUACAAGAGGUGGAAACAAGAUGGAACAGCACAUUUAAUAUGUUGGAAAGGCUGUUUAAGGAGAGAGAGCCACUGGGGGCAGCUCUGGCCACCCUCCAUACGGACCUUCCUCCACUCACCUAAGAGGACUACCAGGCCAUACACCACUGCUUGAGCGUUCUUUCACCGUUUCAAGAGGUCACAGUUGAGCUUUCGACAGAAAAACGAGUGUCAGCAUCCAAAGUCAUUCCCAUGGACAAAAUGCUGAAACAUUACAUCUCAAGCAGGUGUGGUCAGAUCACACACCCACUUGGUGAAAAACUGGCCACUAACUUGAAGAACCAUGAGAGGUUUUCAGCUCUGGAGAAGGUCACUGCUCUGUCAAUGGCAACCUUGUUGGACCCAAGGUUUAAAGAGCUGGGGUUCUGCAGCCAAGGCUCUGCCCACACGGCCAUAGAGCGACUCACUAAAGAGUGUGCUGCAACAAUGCAGGCGCUACUUCCAGAGGCACAGCCACAGUCGCCACCUAGAGAAGGUCCUUCAAGUCAGCAGGAAGAUGGUGGCCUCUGGGCCCUGCUGGACAGGCAUGUGGGGGUUCAACAGCAGGUGAUCAGCACAACUGCCAGUGCAACAGUGGAGGUUCAGAGGUACUUAAAGGAACCCCACAUCUCAAGGACUGAGGACCCACUGAGAUACUGGGUUACCCACAAGGUUUUAUACCCACAUCUCUAAGCUGGCAAUGAAGUUUUUAUGCACACCAGCUUCAUCUGUGCCUUGUGAGAGGAUCUUCUCCAAGGCUGGCGAAAUCGUCAGCCAAAGACGAAACAGGCUGAAGCCCAGCACAGUGGAGAAAAUUCUGUUUUUAAAUAAAAAUCUAUAACAUGUA